UGGCCCCCGAGCUGCAGCCGGCAUCGCGGCGGGACCCGGAGCCCGGAGUUCGGGCGGGUAACCCGAGCGCUCCAAGCUCUUGAAGCCGCGAGGGUGGCUUAGCUUCGGUGUUUUGGCUGAGAACACCCUUAAAGCUUAAAAUAAAACCUGCCUGUGGGGUGCGGGGGAGGAGAGAGGAGGACGCGAAUCACACCCGCUGCUGCCCCCCAGCUCGCCCCGUCUGUACAAUGGGAUGCUCGGGACUCGGACGGGAGGAUCCAGUGACUGCGAGCCCCGUAUUCGCCCGAUCCCAGCCUCACACCCCCAGCCAGCCCCCAGAGACCCUCCCACACUUACGAAGGAAAUGCAUGCGGCCAGGAGGAGGAUCCUCACCAGGAGCAGGGAGCUCUACCCAGGAAAAAGAAGAAAAGGACAGAUUCAUUUGGGGUUCAGCCUCAUGCCCCCCACACCCCCCAAGACUUUGUGGCUAAGGUAAGAGAAUCAGGCCACCUUGAGGUUCAUCAAGGUCAUCCCAUUAAAACCUCCCAAAACUCUGGA
rnacentral:antisense_RNA from 1 species